UCUUGACAAUCCUUCAACAAUCAAACUAAAAUCAACAAAAUAAUACAAAUUCAUCGAUAAAUUUAAAGUUUACAGCUUGGAUUGUUUUUUCAGUGAACCAAACAAUAAAUGAAGCCAUAUCGUCGAACCAAUAAAGCAUUUAUGGUACAACUUCGUUCAGCGACAGGGAUAACCAGAGUUCGAGUCCUACUUUGGGAGUUUUUGAGUGAUGUAAAGUCCCUGUGGAGAUAUGGGGCACCUUUCCCAACAUUUCUCAAACUAAUCGGCACACUAAUUUUAUGUCUCAUUGUAGUACUGCCGCUUAUAUAUCCCUUCUUUAUUUUGGCCAUCACUUACUUUACUUUUGAAGGUUUACUCUUGAGUUGGUGGCUGGAUCAACCAUGGAAUUUUCAGCCAGUAAAGAUCAUUAGGCGAGGCCUGUCUUGCUCAGUGCGGCCGUACACUGCCCGUGACGUAUGGAAGGUGCGCGAAGUUCUCACCCGAGGAAUUCUUCUGGCUCAUUCUCUAGCCACGUCCAUCGAUUACCUUUGUGUAAUGCAAGGAUUGUUAGAUGAGGUCUAAGUUCCCCGACUAAUAAAUAUUCCUCCAUGAAAUUAUGCUCUAAUAAAAUAUUUAAGAAGUUGAA